rnacentral:rRNA from 1 species
GACGAACGCUGGCGGCGUGCUUAACACAUGCAAGUCGAGCGGUAAGGCCCUUUCGGGGGUACACGAGCGGCGAACGGGUGAGUAACACGUGGGUGACCUGCCUCUAGCUCUGGGAUAAGCCUGGGAAGCUGGGUCUAAUACCGGAUAUGACCUCGCGGUGCAUGUUGCGGGGUGGAAAGCCUUGUGCGGCUAGGGAUGGGCCCGCGGCCUAUCAGCUUGUUGGUGGGGUGAUGGCCACCAAGGCGACGACGGGUAGCCGGCCUGAGAGGGCGACCGGCCACACUGGGACUGAGACACGGCCCAGACUCCUACGGGAGGCAGCAGUGGGGAAUCUUGCGCAAUGGGCGAAAGCCUGACGCAGCGACGCCGCGUGAGGGAUGACGGCCUGGU